UCGGACGGGAUUGAGGAGAUUGCUUCUCAUGAGAGUGGCGCACGGGUGCGUAACACGUAUGUAACCUACCUUGUUCRGGGGGAUAGCCUCUCGAAAGAGAGAUUAACACCGCAUAAAAUCAAUUUAUGGCAUCAUAGAAUGAUCAAAUAUUUAUAGGAACAAGAUGGGCAUGCGGAACAUUAGCUAGUUGGUAAGGUAACGGCUUACCAAGGCUACGAUGUUUAGGGGAUCUGAGAGGAUGACCCCCCACACUGGUACUGAGACACGGACCAGACUCCUACGGGAGGCAGCAGUAAGGAAUAUUGGUCAAUGGACGCAAGUCUGAACCAGCCAUGCCGCGUGCAGGAAGACGGCCCUACGGGUUGUAAACUGCUUUUGUACCGGAAUAAACCUUUUCACGUGUGAGAAGCUGAAUGUACGGUAAGAAUAAGGAUCGGCUAACUCCGUGCCAGCAGCCGCGGUAAUACGGAGGAUCCAAGCGUUAUCCGGAUUUAUUGGGUUUAAAGGGUGCGUAGGUGGCCUAUUAAGUCAGGGGUGAAAGACGGUAGCUUAACUAUCGCAGUGCCUUUGAUACUGAUGGGCUUGAAUACACUUGAGGUAGGCGGAAUGUGACAAGUAGCGGUGAAAUGCAUAGAUAUGUCACAGAACACCAAUUGCGAAGGCAGCUUACUAAAGUGUUAUUGACACUGAGGCACGAAAGCGUGGGGAUCAAACAGGAUUAGAUACCCUGGUAGUCCACGCCCUAAACGAUGAAUACUCGAUGUUGGCGAUAUACGGUCAGCGUCUAAGCGAAAGCGUUAAGUAUUCCACCUGGGGAGUACGCCCGCAAGGGUGAAACUCAAAGGAAUUGAC
rnacentral:rRNA from 1 species